AAGCAGAGGGGGCUUAGUGGUGGGGUGACUGCGUACCUUUUGUAUAAUGGGUCAGCGACUUAUAUUCUGUAGCAAGGUUAACCGAAUAGGGGAGCCGGAGGGAAACCGAGUCUUAAC
rnacentral:rRNA from 1 species